UGGCCCAGAGAUGAUCUAAAAUGGCUGGGUAGUAACAAAAAUACUAGGAUUACUUUUAUGGUUUAAAAAGAGAGCAAGUUUAAGAUUCUUAUGUUAGCAUUUAAAAAUGACAGAGGAUGAUACAAACAUUUCUAAACCCAGUGCUUACCUUCAGAAGAAAGAUAAAUGAUUAUUUAUCUGGAGCUCUGUGGCCUUUUAAAUCUUGGAGGGUAUUUCGUGGUUACAAAGUCCUCUGUUUUUAAAAUUCCUUGACUGUGCGCUGGGAGCUAGAGAGGAUUAUUUCAGCCCAGAAAAGUUUUCAGUUGCUAUGGAGAGUAACAAUGAAGGUGGAUAAAAGUGAGAACUUGCCGUCUGGCCGAUUUUCAGGAAAAUCAAAUCGGUGUCGCUAAUGAACCCGACUUUUAUAUCAAUAUUUACCAAUUGUCUUAGAAUUCUGAGAACAACCUUAGAAUUUCUUACAGCCAAUUGUCCUUUAAAGGAUAGAUCUAGGUCAAACGAGUUCACUUACAGAAUAGAAAGGUUUUCAUGUUAAAUCAAGAUUUCUUUUAUUUCUCAGAUGAUUUUGUGAUAACUGCUUUAUCCACACUCAAACCCGUGGAGGUGGAUGCAGAACAGGAAAUGGAGUCAGGACCAGAGAAGGCACCUUGGGCAAAGUUCCCAGCAAGCUCCUGCUCCCGACCUGCUGCCCACUCAGCAGCUGGAACCACCUGAGCAUCAUUUGUAGGCUCUGUCCCAUCUCAGUCUCAGGGACCCAGGGAGCUGGUAACUAAGUAGCCCAAAGUCUACUGAGCGAAUUAUCCAGUCCUCUUGUCACCUGCUGCUUUUCAUAACUUCAGCUCUGCCUUAUUUCUGGAAUUAAGCCCUUGCUUCCUGGCCCACUUCCAGUCAUCAGGUUCCCAGAUCGCCCUCCCGCCCAAGUCCCUCCGUAUAAUUUUCCAGGUUAGAACAGAGCUGCAUCUUGAUUGGCUAUGAAGUGGUCCUGGGAGAGCGCCUCUGCUGGAACUUUGAGAUCUUUCUCCGGAUUCCCAGGUGGAUAUCCAGCCUGAAGUCCUGUGUUUUCUAGUCUCAGAUGCCCUGUGGCUAGGGAUCCGCCCCUCUUAGAGCCCCAGCAAAUUACCUCCUGCAGGAAUUCUCAAACACCCAUUACUAGUCUCAGCUGAUCCCAGCACCUCAACCAGGCCACCCAGGAGCUAAGAGGCUCUCAACUAAGGGAACUUUCCCUCAGGACAGUCUGUAUCAUUUGCCUGGAGGCUUGGUCUCCCUCGAGUCAUACCUAAGUCAGCCACCGACCAGAUUUCUCUUCCUGCCUCAGAGUGAGACAGCCAAUAGGAGAGGCAAGGAGAAGCCUUGGAGGAAGGCUGGAAGGCAGGCAGAUCCCAAGGAAGAAGGAGGAAGCACUUGGCUGAACAGUGAGGUGUCGCUUUCUUCAUCUGAUCUGGGUUAUAGCUGUUAACUCUUCAUCCCCAACCUGCCUGCUUCCCCAA
rnacentral:lncRNA from 1 species